UCGGACGUGGUGCAUGGCGCGCACCCACUUUUCCUAGCCAGGUACAAAAGCAAAGAGUGGGAGCUCCGGGUUCGAUUCCCGGCGUCUGAA